rnacentral:rRNA from 1 species
UUUUAUGAGAGUUUGAUCCUGGCUCAGGACGAACGCUGGCGGCGUGCCUAAUACAUGCAAGUCGAACGCUUCUUUUUCCAACGGAGCUUGCUCCACCGGAAAAAGAAGAGUGGCGAACGGGUGAGUAACACGUGGGUAACCUGCCCAUCAGAAGGGGAUAACACUUGGAAACAGGUGCUAAUACCGUAUAACAAUCAAAACCGCAUGGUUUUGAUUUGAAAGGCGCUUUCGGGUGUCGCUGAUGGAUGGACCCGCGGUGCAUUAGCUAGUUGGUGAGGUAACGGCUCACCAAGGCCACGAUGCAUAGCCGACCUGAGAGGGUGAUCGGCCACAUUGGGACUGAGACACGGCCCAAACUCCUACGGGAGGCAGCAGUAGGGAAUCUUCGGCAAUGGACGAAAGUCUGACCGAGCAACGCCGCGUGAGUGAAGAAGGUUUUCGGAUCGUAAAAC